CUAACAGGGAUUUUAAUCAGCCUCCCCACUGGUUUACUUCACUUCCUGCAAUAAAAGAGCACUCCGAAGGGGCAAGAAAGACGCAGAGGUGGUCACGGGGGAUCGGCACCUUGGCUGAAAUCGACAUAGAGCUGUUUUAAUAGCAAACGCAACAGAUCAGCAUCAAUGUUUGUCUCAGCUUAAACAUCAUAUCAGUGAACUCUUCCUCGACUCCUCCAGGCUUGAACUGUAUUCAACUCUGACCACCAAAGGCUGAAAAGAAGUGAUCUUCCUUCUCAAGAGUCCAUGACUUGUACAUGAUUGGCACUACAGUGCUCAAGAGUAUCUUUCCUCUUCACCGCCAGCCACCUUGAUAAGAUGACCGUCACUGGGAGUUUCUCGUUGUGCUCACUCUGUUGAUGGCUCCCAGCUUCUCCCAUGCUUUGGCAGAGCUACAGUUUGUUUGUUCAUAGUGCACCACUCCCAGCAGCAUUUGGUUGUCCUUCUCUGUGAGCAAGUGUUGCAUGGGGUCCUCUACUCCUUCAUAUCCUGGGGCAUUCGAGAUGGUGUUUGGCCAUUUGCUGUCCUGCUUGGAGUACAUUGAGUGUGGGUGCUCCUGCACACAUGGUUGAAGGUUUGGAGAAAGCUGCUCACAAUCUGUGAAGCAUGUGAGUUAUAGUCUUCUGACAUUUAAAAAAUUCUUGGCAGAAGGAGAAGUGUUGAGUGAAAUAUACUAAUCCACUGUUACCUUCCUCUUCAUUUGACUUACAUGAGAAAUCUGAUGAACUAGACUCAUCAUUGUGCUUCCCGUUCAUUAGCUGGCCUCCUUCUUCGGUACCACUUCCCACGGCGGCAGGCCAUUAAAAAGUGAUUUUCCACAGGCGUGCAAUGGAUGUCCAGUCCUUGAGAGAUUCACUUCUAACACAAUGGGUUCUAAGUGAAAUUGAGAACAAGUUUUGGCCAUUACUUUUACAGGUGGAAAUGUUUCACAAACAACUGCUCUUUCUUUAGAAAUGCCAUCUCAGCCUUGAUUGGUUGUUGUAGAUAACAAUGGAGAAGUCUCCACUCACAUUUCCUGGAGACUUUCACACAGAUGCAAGAGAAAAAAAGACAAGAAAAGAAAACUACAUAAGCACAACAAUGAAUACAUUUGCACAUAAUUUUCCUAAAAUAAUCUUCAUGAUACUAUUUGGCAAUUGUUCUUUCUUCCUUCUUGAUUUCUUUCAUUUCUAUCUUCACUGUAUUUAUGAAUACAGUUAAUAUUUACAAUUUACUAUGUACCAUGCAUUACUCGAAGAACUUUGUUUGGGUUAAUUGUACCUUACAACAACUUUACGAUAGAGUAGUAGUAUUAUCUUUAUCUACAGGCAAGGGAACAGAGGCAGAAAGAACUAAAAUAAGUCACCCAAGGUCACAAGCUAGUAAACUGGGGAGACGGGAUUUGAACCCAAGCAGUCUGGCUCCACCCAGUAACUGAUCUGCUCCAUUGCUAUUCAAACUUAGUCUAUGCAAAGCGCACCGUGAGAGGGUCUAUCUAGCUCCCACCCAAGGACUAUGCAAGUUAUUGGAGAACCCUGCAAGGCAACCAGUGGCCUCUGUGUCUCGUGUUGGAGAACAAUCUGCUCAUAUGCCCUGCACUAGAGUUCAUUCAUUGCUUUGUUGCUUAAAGUAGUAAACCUUUAAAGAGCAACUCAAUCUUCAUGAACAAGAUUGUUAACAGAUAAAAUA